rnacentral:misc_RNA from 1 species
UAAUAAGUGUUGUUAUGGCACUUUUUAAAUCCAUAUCCACCUUGUGUGCAAUGUCAGUCGAUCUUCUUCAUGGAGAUCGACCAAACAUCAACCUUUAUCUUUUAACUCUUUGUCUGAAAAAUAUUAUGAAUAAACAAUUCAAAAUA